AGAGCCAGCCACACAACUGGAGCUCAGUUAAACUUUCCGGCUGAUCAGCGGGGCAGAAGCAUGUCACAAAGGCCUGCUGGGCAUUGCCUAGCCUGUCCCACAUGCAGACCUGUGUUCAGAGAGCACAUUUAACAUCCAUCCAGAGUUGGUCACCAGGAGCCCUACAGGAUGCUAGAGAUUUAGAAGUGAAGAUAUUGGAAAUCCUCCUGUUUUGAAGACUAUGGAAGAGAUGUCCACAUCUUUCACUUACUUCUAAGAGGAGCUAUGAUCUUCACAUUGACCUCAACUUGUGACAUGAAUGGAACUUCUUGGCCUCAUUUCCGGACCAACUCUUCCCUACUAAGAUCACUGUUUGCUGGUCACCAGGGAAGGCAUUUUGUAAAUUUCUUCCCUGAAAGUCUCUCGAGCUAUCACCCAGAAAGUCUUCAACACCAUCCUUCAAUGCAGUGUUUUUCCUAAAGGGCCUGAAGACACAUGUAAGUGAACACGAAUGUUAAAAGCAAUGGGCCAGUGGUAAAUAAAUUACAGAGAAAGGAACAAAUUAAGACAUUAACAAAACUGGCUGGAGCUUAAUUCCUCUGCAGUCCCGUGUCCUCCUAGCCUGGAGGCUGUGCAUUUUGGAGCCUUUCCUGUAGCAGACAGGUCCUGGGCUCUGCAUAUAGAAAUAAGA